rnacentral:tRNA from 1 species
UAUGUUUAAGUAUAUGAUGUACACGAGUUUUUGAUACUUGGGGGAAUAGUUUAAUUCUAUUAAUUAUAA